rnacentral:lncRNA from 1 species
CCAUCUUCUUUAUUGUUAGGGGGUUGGUUGAGAGAAAAGAAGAAAAGAGGGAGAAAGAAAAAGAGAAGAAAAAGAAGAAAAAAAAGAAAGGGAUGGUUUUUGGAGAGAAUUUUUUUUUUUACAUCUUGUGAUAGAAAAGAAAAGAAUUAUUGAAAGAGUUUAUUCAUAGAAAGAUUUUACAAUAGUUUAAGCACACCUAUUUAUCUAUUGAAGUUGAAUUAAAAACAGAAGGAUUGCGGGGUUUUUGAUUAUCAUUUGAAUUCGAAGUUGUGUAGUGGAAGGUCAUCCCUUUGCUCGUUUCGUCUCUAGCUCGCUGCCCCGAAGAAGGUGAAAUCCUUUUUUUUUUCUUUCUUCUUUUUUAGAUGUUGUCAUUCCACCUUGCUAACUAUUUUUUUUUUGUUUUGUUUUCUUGUGUGACAUCGAUUCGAGUCCACUUUGGAUUCCAUUCUUGCAUUCCUCGUUGAGCCAUAAAGGCUCAAAACACUUUUCCCGAGUCAGCCAACCCCCUGAGAGGAUGUACAGGUCGAAAGCAAAACCAUUGGAGAGCUGCUGGAAGUAGCGGAUUGCAGGCAUUUGGCUGCGAUUUUUGUUUUGAAGCUGUGUAUAUGGUUUAUACACAAUAUAUACACUGUGAUACAGGUCAAAAAUCCACAAGAGGCCCAAACUCAAAAUCUGAAUUGACGACAGGGCAAUUACGUUUCUGGAAAGGAGUUUUCAACUUCCAAAAGUUGAAAAACAGGCUUAUAUAUAGCCUGUAUACACAGAUAUACAGGUAUGAUAUACUAUAUAUAUGCUCAAAAAAUAUGAUUGGCAGGGGAACAUAGAGGAACGCCUAUUCUAAUUAAAAUUCGGAAUUAGGCAAACAAUGCGGACGUAGGGUGCAGCCCGUAUACAUCAGUAUACAUUAUCGGGUGAUGAUAUACACUUGUUAAGUAAGUUUUAAAAAAAUGAUACAAGUACAAAUACGCAGGGCAAUACAGGGAAAAAUAAUGAAAAUAUGUAUUUAAACAGGUGCAGGGCUCAAAAGGUCCAAAAUGGAUGCUGAUAUACACUGUAUACAACAGUAUACAUCGUUUGUAUACUUUAUGUCUCCUUUUUCAGGAAAUUGGGUCAAGGCCCUUCAGUCCCCUUUUAUUAACAGGCCCAAUGACCAUUUGUUUUUGCAGGUUUUUUUUUUAAAAAAAGGGCCCAAAUCUAAGUAAAUAGAUUAGGACAGGUGGGCCAAAGCCCAAUUGGAUGGAUUUGGGCAAUCAAACCCAAGUUCAAAUAUUUUUCUCUCUUUAUUUAUUAUUUGUUUGAAUUAAUUAGUGUUUUGGUAGAAUUUUAAUAAUCUCCUAAAGAGUAGCCAUUUUUCAUUAUUUUAAAUUUUACUAUUUUAUUCACUUUUAUCACCAUUUAGUUUUCCUUAAAUUAAUUCCCUCUAAACAUUUUCCUUAAGAAAAAAAAAGUAAAAAGAAUGAAAUAAAAAAUAUCAAAAUGAAUUUUCUCUUUACUUAGUUAAAAAUUUUAUUUUAAAAGUCAUUUAGUCAAAUCGCCGGUCAACCGCAAGUUAGCGGGCAUCCCGAGGGCCUAACACCUUCUCGAGAUGUACAUUGAACUUCGAACCCUUUUCAAAUGAUUUUUAAUCUGUUUUUAAAUCUUUUGAAGUUUUUCUUGAUUCUAUCAAAAAUCAAGUGGCGACUCCGAUUUUGAAGGUCGGUUUUUCUUAAACAAUAAGAUUAAUUGAUUUUUCGAAACCUAGUCAAUUUUUUCUCAUUUAAACCAAUAAUCAGUAGUAUUUUUAUUUUUUUAAGUAAAACAAUUGCUACGGAGAAGAAAGAAAAAAAUAAGAACAAUUUUUUAAAAAAUAAAUAUAUUUAUUGAAAAGAGAUAUUUUUAAAAAAAUGUUAAUAUUGUUUUGGCUGCUCACUCUCUCAAAGAGAGUGAAAUACACUCACUUUGCCAGGUAAGCAUUUAGGGAGUUAAUAAUUUUAGUUUUAUAAAUCCAGGGGGCUAAUAGGGCCCUCGUAAAGUAUGAAUGUGUAAUUAGGUACCGUCUAUAGAUUAGAGGGGCUAUUGACCAUUUUCUCUAAAUUUUGUUUACAUGUUUUUAAAAAAAAUAUAAACUCGUGGAUCAUUUUUUUGUAUUUUUAAAAAAAUUCUAAGCAUGAUAUGAAAUUCCCAAAUCAUGAUUUUUUUGGAGAGUAUGAGAUUUUAUAUGAAACACUCCAAAAAUACAAUUACCUAGGCUAGAGCCUAACAUAAUGAAUAAUGACUUAAAAAUGAUUAAACGAUGUCUCUUGACCUAAACUAAUGUAAUUAACAUGAUUUUGAAGUAUUAGAGCAUAAACGUCAAGAAACGACCAUGAUGUCUAGAAACUAGUGAAAUUGAUCUAGUAGGUGUUCUUAGGUCUUGUGAUGGCUUGAGAGUGUCGCAUGAAGGACAAAUCUCGUAAAAAUACAUUAAAUAGGUAAAAAUAUAUUUUUAGGAUCAAAAUAUUCAGGUUCUAAUCCCAAAAUUAAUUUCGUGAAAACUUCUGGGAACACCUCUGCAACACAGAUUUAUUCCGCGAUGAAAACUCCAAAAAAGUCAAGUUAGACUCAAUUAUAAAGUCCAACCAAGUGAGGGUGUUUUGGGUAUUUUAUAGGAUUAGUAUAUUGACUUUAAGUCAUUUUACACUCAUUCCCACAUUAAAACAAAUCCCCAAAUUAAAAAUCCAAUUGCUCUCACUUCUCUAUAGAUUGUUUCACUACACAACGACCCCUUUGAAGAAGAUGAUUAAGAUUCAAGUAGGGCUCAAGGACAAGUAUUUUCUCCAUUAAUCUUUAAGGAUUGACAAGGUAUUGUAACGUAUCAUUCUUGGGACUCCUUUACACAAGAGGUUCUUUCAAACUGAUUUUUCAAUGUUCUCCCAACUUUCUAGAAAUCACUGAAAUUUGUGGCUCACCUUUAAACUUUUCAUGAAUAAUUUGAGUUAUUAUCUUAGGUUUUUUGCCUAAUUCCUUAUAGACCCAUGAAUGUCCCUCUUCUCUUAACCCUAACUCUUGAAUUAUGUUAAUUAAUUAUUAGAGGUGAUGUAAUGAAGUAUGUUCUUGUAUAAUUGACUUUUAUAUGAUAAUUAUAAAAUAUUUGAUGGGUAAAUAUCUUGGAUUCGGGAUGAAGUCUUGAAAGAGUUCUUGGAGUCCAUUUGUAAGAUCUUCUAGGUCGUGAUCAUUCUAUUGUAGUAUUGUUGGUUUAUCUUUGGUAAUGUUGAUUAAUUGAAGUAUGAAUGAUGAAGUUAUGGAUGUAUGAUCAUUCAAUGAAUAUGAUAAUUGUGAGAUGAUGAUAGUUGUGCUAUUAUUAGGGGUUGAAGGUAAUUCUCAUGUACAUCUUAUGACUAUGCUAUGAAGUAAUGUUCUCACAUGAUAUUAGGUUGUGAUUAAAGGAUUUUCCUAUCCUAAAACCUAUGAGAUAUGAUCAUGUUAUAUGAGGAGAUAAACUCAUAAAACCUAUGUUACAAAUUUAUGUUAAGGAAGACUUAAAGAUACUUCAAAAAUGGAAUUUAGCUUAGCACCGAGUUAACUUGACAAUGAGAGGUGUUCCUUCAUAAAGGAAGAUAGGUUCACCCGAUGUUCUCAUGACGUGGAAACUACAAUUCUAAAUCAGUAUAAAGAGGGUUUCUAGCAACAACCUCCUAGUUCCUUAACUAUGUGCCCACAUUGGAAACCUUUGCUAGUGGAUCCACCUAAAUGUUAUAUGAAUGUUUAUGUCUUACCUUGACAAGUAGGACACCCUCAUUUCAGUGUGAGGGGAUGAUAACGGUUCCAUGUAGCCAACAUGGUCAAUGCAGGUAUGGAGAAGUUUCCCGAAUGUUAAAAUGAAUGAAUGAAACUAUGAAGAUUUACACUAACUAGGACUACUUAAGUGGUGUCACUUAGUGUAGGUAAGGAUAUGAGGCUUUUACAUUGCACAAGUGGUUCUUGAGGGAAACUCUAAGGUAGUUUAUUUAUGUAUAUACGUUAUGAAUAAAAUGCAUGAUGUUGGUUUCAUAUGAUAGGUAUGAUAUUGAUUUCACUUGAUAUACAUGAUGUUGGUCAAAAUUGGUGUGUAUGGUAUUGACAACACUUAAUAUGAUAAUGUAUGAGGUAAAACACAAUGCUUAUGAUCUCUUUGUUAGUUUAUUUGGUUUAUGUGAGGUUAUGGGGCUUCACAUACAUAUUGCACUAGUAGACUUGGAUUGGGGUUAUAAGUAGAGACUUGUGACAUAUUUGAUGAAAUGGAUUCUAAAUAUUAAAUGUUGACUAUGGUUCUAUUUUGAUGUUACGCUUGAAUAAGAAUAUGUCUUGUUGUUGUUGUGAUAUGGACUUGUAUAUGAUUCUUAUAAUGUGCAUAAAGGCUUUUAAAGUUAACAUAGCAUGCUUAUAACAAAAUGUCUUGUGGUGCAUUUUUUCAAAUGGUUCACUUGCAUAUGUUUCCAUACUUAGUACAUGUGGUUCGUAAUAACUCAUAUCUCUUCUAUUUUCUGCACAAAUAUAGGAUCGGCCAUUGAGUUGAUUCAACGCCAUUUUCUUAAGAAGCUUGGAUUGUUUCCCAGGUUGGUGAGUCCUCAAGUUCGAGGACAAAAUGAUUCUAGCUUUAGUUGUUUUGCUUAUAUUAAAAUACAUUGUUCUACUUAUCCUAUUUAAAGGGCUUUGUUGUAAAAAUUUUUAUAAGACUUGUAAUUAUGUAAGGUCUAAGUCCAAUAUCAUACUCUUAUGUCUAGAUGGCAAUAUGAGACAAGUUAUCUUUCUAUUUUGAUAUAUGAAGUGAAAUUGAACUUCAAAUUAAAAGUUUUAAAUUUUCCUCUUUUAUCCUAUCUAUUAUGCGAUGAGAAAUGCUAACGUCUUGUAUAAGUCAUGGUCGGCCACACCGAUUACGUCUGGGGGUACUCUAGGUUCAUAACACUAUCUCAUUAUGUGAAAUCACUAGAUCGAAUCAACAUGAAAUCACAUUUCCAAACACUGAUUUCAUCUCACUAUUUCAUGUUAUGAUAUGGUCUCGCAUAGACAAACUCCUACUUGUUAAAGUUUGUUAUGUCCUAACAUGUCACUUUAUGAUACUACUUUGUCAUAAAAUUGAAGCAUAAGUGACCUAGCCUUAGAGCCUGCUUGGUAUUGCUGUUGGAGGGACAAAAACAAUUAUUUUGAGAAAAAUAUAUUUUUUUAAUAAGAAAGUGUUUGAC